CAGUCACUUUUUCAAUUGAACGCUUGGAAAUCCGAUAUGUUGUCAAAAUAUUAGGCUAUAGACUCAGGAACUUGUAGAAACUUAGUAUGAAGCAAAAAAGGAAGAUAUUUAUUCAAAAGGGUAGUGUAAACCAAAAGGACAAAAUGUAUAUUGACUAUUAUAUUGGGCCCACUGGAAAAUUUGUGGUUUUCUCGAUUGUCUUUCUUUUAUUUGUUCUAUAUUCGACAUCAGUUACCCUCAAGGUAUAUUGGACGUUAAUACCAGCUUCUUCGUAUAUUGUUGUGUCCAUUUCCUAAAAAAGAAUUAGUUUUUAUGUUGUGUUCUUUACAUAAUUUUCUGAUCUGUGUAUACAAUAGCUGCUUCGUCUGAUAAUGUUUUACCCAAAGCAGGCAGAAGAACACAGCCGUAGGACUCAGUUGAUACAGUUGAGACCAGCUUGAGCAGUGGUGAACCACCAAAAUUUGGCAAAUAAAACUAAUCGUGUCUUCGAAUAUGUGACGCUAACAACAGUUUUACUGCCUCAGCAAAUAAGAUUUAUCAGCAAGUCCAUUUGUUGGACCAAUGAAGAUGCAAUUGCUCGAAGCAAUAUAGAGUAUGCAGAAAACUGGCCUAUUCGGCAUUUGAGCAGGCAUACAUUUGCUAAUCAGGCUCUUGGAGAGAAGACAGCCUUGUUGUGCAGACCAUGUGCUAAAGAAAGAGAGGUUUAACUUGAUCUUUAGCAAUGAAUUCAUUGUAAAUUGUGUUAGAUGUACUUUAUAAUGAAUUUAUGAUAUACAGUUCAUAAGUUCAGAAGCUUUUGAUUUGAUAUAUUUUGUUGGAAAUUUUAAGUAUUAAUCCAUUUUUGAAUUAACUGUUUCUCGUUGUU